UGAUCAGAGAUCACUCUUGUGGUCAUCUUGGUUUUGUUCCUCAGAAAAUUAAAUGUCGUCAGAAGACCAAGAAGCUCAGGAGGAUGAAUUGCUGGCCCCAGCGAGUAUUUACGAUGGAGAUGAAUUUAGAAAAGCAGUCUGUCCAAGGGGGAGAAACCAGGAUCUAUUUGGAUUUGCCAUAGAAUUUCAAGAUAUUUGUGAGCGCUAUCUGCUCUAUGGGAAGAACACCGUGGCAGCGUGAUCCUGUUUGCCUGGAUGCAAUUUCUUAAAGAAGAGACCCUAGUAUACCUGAAUAUUGUCUCUCCUUUUGAGCUCAAGAUUGAUUCUCAGAAAAAAGUGCAGAGGAGGACAGCUCAAGCCUCUCCCAACACAGAGCUAGAUUUUGGAGGAACUUCUGGAUCUGAUACAGACCAAGAGGAAAUUGUGGAUGAGACAGCUGUGUGCAGGAUGUGGAAUCAUUGUUAAAUAUGAUCCAGGAAAUCUUGGACUUUGAUCAAGCUCAGCAGAUAAAAUGCUUUAAUAGUAAUUUGUUCCUGUGCAAUAUCUGCUUCUGUAAGAAGCUGGGUAGUGAAUGCAUGUACUUCUUGGAGUGCAGGCAUGUGUACUGCAAAGCCUGUCUGAAGGACUACUUUGAAAUCCAGAUCAGAGAUGGCCAGGUUCAAUGCCUCAACUGCCCAGAACCAAAGUGCCCUUCAGUGGCCACUCCUGGUCAGGUCAAAGAGCUAGUGGAAGCAGAGUUAUUUGCCCAUUAUGACCGCCACCUUGUACCUGAUGGCAGAUGUGGUGUACUGCUCCCACCCAUGCUGCCAGCUGCCUGUGAUGCAGGAGCCUGGCUGCACCAUGGGUAUCUGCUCCAGCUGCAAUUUUGUCUUCUGUACCUUGUGCAGGUUGACCUACCAUGGGGUCUCUCCAUGUAAGGUGACUGCAGAGAAAUUAGUAGACUUACGAAAUGAAUACCUGCAAGCAGAAGAGGCCAAUAAAAGACUUUUGGAACAAAGGUAUGGUAAGAGGGUGAUUCAGAAGGCACUGGAGGAGAUGGAAAGUAAGGAGUGGCUAGAGAAAAACUUCAAGAACUGCCCAUGUUGUGGAACUCCCAUAGAGAAAUUAGAUGGAUAUAACAAGAUGACAUGUACUGGCUGUAUGCAAUAUUUCUGUUGGAUUUGCAUGAGUUCUCUCUCUAGAGCAAACCUUUACAAACAUUUCACUGAUCCUGCUUCACCAUGUUUUAACCAGCUGUUUGAUGCUGUGGAUGUUGAUGAAGAUAUUUGGGAAGAUGAGAUUGAAGACUAGUUAACUAUUGCUCAAGAUAUGGAAGUGGAUUGGUUUUCCCUAAUCUUUUGUCAAGUACACAAAGUAACCCUGCAGGAUAUUUAGGGUACUAUUCAUUCACUCUUCCUGUGUAGAAGAUAUGGAAGAACAAGGUUUAUAUUUUCAUGUGAUACUACUGAAGAGGGUGCAUUCAUACAUUUUUUAAUGUAAGUUGAGAAAAAUUAUAAGCCAAAGGUUCAGAAAAUGAAACUACAGAAUAUUAAAUAUUAUAAUGCGUCCAAAGCUCUGAAUAGUUAAAAAUUAAAUAUUUAUUGCCUUCCCCAAGCUUUAUAUAAGGAGAAGAGGGGUCAAGAGUUAAACUUACAGACGCUUUGUCUCUGA